rnacentral:rRNA from 1 species
UAAAUAGCAAUUGCUAAUUGCACUAAAAAUUUUAGUGUAAAAUCGAUUUACUCGAAUAAAAUUCUGGGUAGAAUUUUGAUAAUGACAAUAUCUAUCCAUAAGUCUUGACCAAAUUACGUGCCAGCAGUCGCGGUAAUACGUAGAAGACAAGUGUUAUUCAUCUUUAUUAGGUUUAAAGAGUACUUAGACAGUAAAUAAAGCCUCAAAAAGGGACUAGUUUGCUAGAGUUUUAUGUGGAGAAGUAUUAAAGUACUACUGGUGUAGUGAUAAAAUACAGUUAUACCUUACAUGGCACAGGUUAAGGCGAAGGCAUCUUCUUAUGUAAAAACUGACGUUGAAGGACGAAGGCUUUGUGUAUCGAACAGGAUUAGAUACCCUAGUAGUCUAAGCAGACAAUGAUGAAUGUCAUGGAUUAGAAAAGAUUUUGAUCUGUAAAUGAAAGUGUAAGCAUUCCACCUUAAGAGUAAUUUGGCAACAUUGGAACUGAAAUCAUUAGACCGUUUCUGAAACCAGUAGUGAAGUAUGUUGUUUAAUUUGAUAAUCCGCAAAAAACCUUACCACAAAAUAUGAAUAGAUAUAUUAUAUCAUACAAGCGUUGCACGGCUGUCUUCAGUUAAUGUCGUGAGACUUUGGUUAGUUCCAUAAAUUAACGUAAACCCUUAUUUUAUUUUUAGAUAAAGUAGUUCACCGCUAUAUU